UAAGAAAUGACCUAAUACACCGUGAAUACGAUGAGGAACCCGUGGUAGAGUUGCCUUAUUAUGAAGAAGAUAUACCAGUUUUGGUGCAAGAUGACAAACAAUCCAGGCCAACUUUCUGUCGAUCGUUUCUCCGAAGUUUUCAGGCAAAUUUAGGAUUAGUAAUAACGGUUGUUUUCAUAUUUGGCUUGCUGACUACUGGGAUUGUUUAUGUGGAU